UCAGUUCCAUCUCCCAAGCAAUGGCGACGAACAGGAACAAGAAGAAAGAUAAACGAUUCCGCUUCAAUGGACAUCACUGAAGAGCCCGUUUCAGAUUUUCCUCAAGCAAUUGACACCUCAUAGUCGGGGGCUCACAACCCAAGUGGUGGUGCUUCCAGUUUGAUUGAGCGGCAUCGUUUCUGGAGAAACCAACGGCUCUAAAAGGGGACGUAUACUUUUAAAUACGGCAUUCUUAUCAUAUUCAGAAUCAACAAAAAUUGCCCCUGCUAGAGACUCAAUAAUAUCUGCAAGUACCUGUUAUAAAUUGUUCAAAUGCAGAGGAGUUAGUAAAUGAUUUAUUUACUAACAAAUAUAUGAUUUAGAUUUGUUUUGUUAGAUUUGUUUUGUUAAAUUGGAUCUCCCCAAAAAGAGUUAGUAAAUGAUUUUAUUAAAGGCAA